rnacentral:rRNA from 1 species
GACGAACGCUGGCGGCGUGCUUAACACAUGCAAGUCGAACGGAAAGGCCCUGCUUUUGUGGGGUGCUCGAGUGGCGAACGGGUGAGUAACACGUGAGUAACCUGCCCUUGACUUUGGGAUAACUUCAGGAAACUGGGGCUAAUACCGGAUAGGAGCUCCUGCUGCAUGGUGGGGGUUGGAAAGUUUCGGCGGUUGGGGAUGGACUCGCAGGUUAUCAGCUUGUUGGUGGGGUAGUGGCUUACCAAGGCUUUGACGGGUAGCCGGCCUGAGAGGGUGACCGGCCACAUUAGUACUGAGAUACGGCCCAGACUCCUACGGGAGGCAACAGUGGAGAAUAUUGCACAAUGGGCGGAAGCCUGAUGCAACAACGCCGCGUGCGUGAUAACGUCCUUCGGGUUGUAAACCGCUUUCGCCUGUAACGAAGCGUGAGUGACGGUAAUGAAUAAAGAAGCACCGGCUAACUACGUG